UAUAAAUAUAUAUUUUUCUCUCCUUGCAGGCGUGUGAUGCCAAACGCAGCCAUGAAGAAGAAGGUUCUCCUGAUGGGCAAGAGCGGCUCUGGCAAAACCAGCAUGAGGUCCAUCAUCUUUGCCAACUACAUCGCCCGCGACACCCGCCGACUGGGCGCCACAAUCGACGUGGAGCACUCGCAUGUCCGCUUCCUGGGCAACCUGGUCCUCAACCUCUGGGACUCGCGGCGG